UACGUGGGAGCCAGCGUUGUCCGGAAUCUUUGGGCGUAAAGCGCGCGUAGGUGGCUUCAUAAGUCCGUUGUGAAAGUCAAAGGCUCAACCUUUGAAAGCCGAUGGAUACUGUGAAGCUAGAGUACGGAAGAGGCGAGUGGAAUUCCUGGUGUAGCGGUGGAAUGCGCAGAUAUCAGGAGGAACACCAAUAGCGAAGGCAGCUCGCUGGGACGUUACUGACACUGAGGCGCGAAAGCGUGGGGAGCGAACAGG
rnacentral:rRNA from 1 species